CCCUUAGAUGUCCUGGGCCGCACGCGCGCUACACUGAGUGUCUGAGAUACGAGUCUGCCUGGUCCGGCAAGGUCUAGGUAAUCGCUAAAAGACACAUCAUGCUUGGGAUAGAUUUUUGCAAAUAUUAAUCUUGAACGAGGAAUUCCUAGUAAGCGCAAGUCAACAGCUUGCGUUGAUUACGUCCCUGCCCUUUGUACACACCGCCCGUCGCUACUACCGAUUGAAUGGUUUAGUGAGAAUUUUGGACUGGAACUCCCUUGCUCAGCAAUGGGCGAGGGGGAGUCCGGGAAGCUAUUCUAACUGUAUCAUUUAGAGGAAGUAAAAGUCGUAACA
rnacentral:rRNA from 1 species